GACCACAACUGUGGCCACGCAGGAAGCCGGCCAUUAAGGGGAAACAAAAGUGUCACAAAGAGUCCUGUUGUCACUGUGGAUGGAGCCACUUGCUGAGUCCCAGGCAGGCUCUGAUGGGGACCUCCUGGCAGGGAGGGGUGGAGGAAGCUGCAGGAGGCCUUGGCAGCCAGACCCCAAGG
rnacentral:lncRNA from 1 species